GAAGACCUCAUGAGGUGUCUGGUCUCUAGUGAGUUGUGAAUAUUGUGUAUCUUGUGUUUCGAGGGGGACACGGUAUUUAACAUACUACAGGUGAUUCACGGUUCUUCAGAAAAGGGAAACUCUUUUUACGAGCCAUCUCACCGGCCUUGGUGGGGCCGGAGAGGAUGUGUGAGACUCGACCUGGGCAGGUCCCUACUCUCUAAAACCACUGCGAAAGCCAUCGGCCGCUAUGAUGGUGCACCCCGGAUCAUCUUACAU